GAUGAACGCUGGCGGCGUGCCUAAUACAUGCGAGUCGAGCGAACAGACGAGGAGCUUGCUCCUCUGACGUUAGCGGCGGACGGGUGAGUAACACGUGGAUAACCUACCUAUAAGACUGGGAUAACUUCGGGAAACCGGAGCUAAUACCGGAUAAUAUAUUGAACCGCAUGGUUCAAUAGUGAAAGACGGUUUUGCUGUCACUUAUAGAUGGAUCCGCGCCGCAUUAGCUAGUUGGUAAGGUAACGGCUUACCAAGGCAACGAUGCGUAGCCGACCUGAGAGGGUGAUCGGCCACACUGGAACUGAGACACGGUCCAGACUCCUACGGGAGGCAGCAGUAGGGAAUCUUCCGCAAUGGGCGAAAGCUUGACGGAGCAACGCCGCGUGAGUGUUGAAGGUCUUCGGAUCGUAAAACUCUGUUAUUAGGGAAGAACAAAUGUGUAAGUAACUAUGCACGUCUUGACGGUACCUAAUCAGAAAGCCACGGCUAACUACGUG
rnacentral:rRNA from 1 species